UAUUCUUUUUCCAAAAUUCUUGUGUACCACUGAUGUUGUAAUGAUUUUCUUGCUUCUCAUAGGUAGUAGAGGCUGCUAGGCACCUCCAUUUGAAGGAACACAUAGUUUUAGAUUGUUCAGGCAUUGUAUUCAAGCUAGCUGCUCUGGUGGAGUGCAAGGGUAUUGUUGGCAGUGAUGAUAGGUACGAAUAUCGGUUUCAGCAGGGGAAUCUGAUCUUGAUGCUUCAUCAACAUUUAAAACUACAUAUAUUGUAGAUCUCCAUCAGUUGUGAAAAAUUUAGUUCCAAUAUGUUCAGAAGCUAUGAAUCUCAUGGAUUAAGGAAAAGCUCAAUUGGCUGAAGGAAUGUUGGGGAGGCUUUCUCGCUUUUAACUGAAGCAUUCUCUAUACAUUACCUAGAAACUUGGAGGGCGCAAUAAUGCAACAGUACCAGAAGCUGCUUAUAAAUGAGCAUUGUCUUGGGCUGGAUCAUCCAGAUACUGCUCACAGGCUUGAAAAAGAAAUCCUUCAUUAGUUUUGCUUUGCAUCACCUGUGACUGGAUCAUUUUUCCUUGUUUUCUUGUUAUAAUUUUUUGGAAUGCAUGUUAUUGCUAAGCUUGUCUAUGAUUUCAAUAUUUUCAGCUAUGGAAACAUGGCCUCAUUCUACCAUGGUCUCACUCAGAUAGAACUCGCUUUGCGGCACAUGCCAAGAACAUUGCUUCUGGAAGCAUUUGAAAAGGAAUGAAUGGCUUCUUUGUCAGGACUCAGGAGCAUAUUCAAACUUCUGUAUGAAACCAGGCACUUGGUGUUGUCUUUUAAGUUUUAACUAAGGGUGCCUCUACAAAAUCUCUA